rnacentral:rRNA from 1 species
GAUGAACGCUGGCGGCGUGCCUAAUUCAUGCAAGUCGAGCGAACGGACGAGAAGCUUGCUUCUCUGAUGUUAGCGGCGGACGGGUGAGUAACACGUGGAUAACCUACCUAUAAGACUGGGAUAACUUCGGGAAACCGGAGCUAAUACCGGAUGAUAUUUUGAACCGCAUGGUUCAAAAGUGAAAGACGGUCUUGCUGUCACUUAUAGAUGGAUCCGCGCCGCAUUAGCUAGUUGGUAAGGUAACGGCUUACCAAGGCAACGAUGCAUAGCCGACCUGAGAGGGUGAUCGGCCACACUGGAACUGAGACACGGUCCAGACUCCUACGGGAGGCAGCAGUAGGGAAUCUUCCGCAAUGGGCGAAAGCCUGACGGAGCAACGCCGCGUGAGUGAUGAAGGUCUUCGGAUCGUAAAACUCUGUUAUUAGUGAAGAACAUAUGUGUAAGUAACUGUGCACAUCUUGACGGUACCUAAUCAGAAAGCCACGGCUAACUACGUG